AGCUUUUUAGUUUAUUUUAAAAUUUUUGUUUGUGGUACAAAAGAAGUUUUGAAGCUA
rnacentral:tRNA from 1 species